rnacentral:rRNA from 1 species
AUGAAGCUUUGGAUCUCUUACCAACCUGGAACUUGUGAUCUGCGUUUGGAUAAUAUAUAUUCCGUCCCAAUUCAAUUUAUUUGGUUUGCACAAUACAACUUAGCCCUUGGUAGUUCUGAUCUGUAUUCGUUUGUGGUUUUCCAGAAAUUGAGGUUAAUUGGUGGAGAUUUGGUUUCUGUUCAUCAUUUUGAUUGGUUGGAUAAUGAAGUUUUGGAACCUAGAACUUGCGAUCAGCGUUUGGAUAAUGAAUUCUGUCCCGAUUCAAUUUAUUUGGUUUGCGCAGUACAAUUUAGUCCUGGCAGUUCUGAUCUGUAUUCGUUUGUGGUUUUCAGAAAUUGGGCUUCGUAA